AGGCUCGAUAAAAGUAGUACGCAAAACUGCCGCUGAAGGCGUUGUUCAAACUUGUUCAGACACGCAAAUUGGCGCCAAGAGCGUGAUCCGUGGCGCGAUCCGCGUGAUCACUUCUUUUUGUGUUAUUUGUUUUGUUUUAUGUAUCUCAAGUUUUACCCCAGUGCACAUUGUGGACAUGUAUUUGAGUCGAUGUGUUCGAAAAAGUUUUGAAAAAUCUUGUCAUCGUUUCUCGAGAUCAAUACGUCCCUUCUAUAUAGUUCUACGUAUGCGGCCGCAAGGAAAAACGUCCUGGUUUCGCCGACCCCAUACGUCAAUCAAAAUUGUGGUUAGACAUUCGUACGAGUGGAACUAAGCCUCGGACCUUGUCACCGAUGACUCGCGAGCGCGCUGUGGGUCGACAAAUCAUUUGAUGACGCGGCAACUUUAUCAUCAUUUCGCUUCUCUCAUAUCGAGGGAGUCCCGAUCAACUGAUCGAUCUUUCGACGACUCUCUAAUCGUGUCGUAAACCAUCACGUUUGCCCAUCGCAUCUUACUUGCGCGAGGACUCGGGGGAACUAACAAAAACCUUCACCAAUCGGCUUCAUUCUUACUAGAUUCAAGUGUGUUGGAACUAUUGGAAAUCCAGAAAUCCAGAAAAACUCCCUCCUGGUUAAGUAUCGGUGUACAAGCAGUCGCUUACGCUGACGAUCAUCCAUCUUGGCCCUGGUUUCGUCAGGAGCUACGAUACUUGAGAGAUCUCUCAGAAACUCGACGCUUAGUUAUCGCUGUCGAUCCCUCAUGGCGUUCAGCAGACUUCGAAAACGUUGGAGUCCUUCAAUUUGCCUUGAAAAGCCGUGAUUUUGCUGCAUCACAGAGCCCUUCGUUCCACCUCGUACACACAUUCGUUGCUUCUUUUUUCGAGGCUGGAAAGACGCGUGUUGUUCUCUCUGCACGGUAGCCGGCGUAGCAUGCGCCCGAUUUCCCAUCGUUCUCCGUUUCUUCGCGCCUCAACUAUCUCCAGCAAAAUGCCAACCUGACAAACCUUCAAAGGGAAGAGGAAGAAGGAACAGGAGCGAGAUAGAAGAAGAAAAGGAAGCAGGGAGAAGACGACAGAGUGAGAAAAGGAUGAGAGAAAGUUAGACAAAAAUUCGACAUCUGUCGCGUGAACGAGCCAUCGAUACUUCGACAUACUUUUGUCUCCCUUUCCCGCAGCCGUAAGAUCCGGAACAUCCUUGAGAGUUGGCAAAGACAACGGAUUCGCGAAGGGACAAACCCUCGAGAGAUACAAGCAGCACGAGAGUUCGCUGGGAUGGAUUCGAGAUGACGGACCAUUCGCUUCAGCCGUACCCCCAGCCGUAGCUUGUCUCUCAAAGUAUCUCGAAAUAUGAGAGAAUUUUUGGAAUCCCCCGGAGUCAUUCGGAUAAUUCUUUCACGCUCACGUGAAAGAUGACGGAAACGUAUUUGGAAUAAGAGGGGAAAAUCGAAUGUAUUUCUCGUCGCAUAUGACGGUGCAGCGUCGAAGUACGACGAAAACGAGAGAAAGGGGAGAGAGAAUUUCGCGGUGAGUCGAAAAUACUUGCCAAAGAUUCACGCACUAUUCCAACUUCGGUGAGGAACGUUUCAUGCAAAUUCAGCCGCAAAACGAAGUCUCUUUGACCUCGCAUCCACCGCCUCCACCGCGCCACCUGUUUAAUUUCACGUUCAAUUAUCACUGAAUUGGGAGCUCUUAAUUCAACGCGAAAUAGACUAUGGAUGCUUCGUAUAUGUAGUCAAACGGAAGCGGAGGGACGGAGGGGAAGGAAGAUUUAUAAGAGGAAUAAGACGAAGAUGGAGGAUGACAAGGUAGGAUUCCUGAAAGGCAAAUAUCUCGCGACGCCCGCGGCUCUUGGAGAUUCUGAUGUACGAGGAAGAAGACGAGUGAGAAGGGGAAAUGACGAGCAAGAGAGAGGGAGAAAGAUGGGGAACAAGAUGAGGAGAAGACGUGAGAGAAUCGCUUCGGUUUGUUGGCGAGGUUGCUGAUGGUCUCGGUCGACUAUACCAGAAGAGUGUGAGAGAGCUAGCGAGAGGGGGAUGCAAGAUUGAAGGAAUGAUUCGCCUGAUUUAUGAAUAAUGUAGAUGUACAAAAGCUCGAUACAACGGAGAAAGUUGUCGAAUUUAUGGGUCAACGACAAGUUUCUACUCUCAUUGUUUCGUCGAUUUUCUGGCUGGUUUAUUCGACACCGAAAAAGGUUUUCGAGGGCCCUUCCAUGGGGGUACCUGAGUGUGCGUUUUCGGAGUUUGAAUUUCUUUUGCGCGAGAGAUACUUUUUCAAGGACUCGUCGUAUUAUUCGGUAUCAUCAUGAAGAUAUCGAUUUAUGAGUGAUGUCGAAGGCUCUCCAUUGUCCGUGAAAAGAGGAGGGCGAAGGAUAAAAAGCUCACUUGGUUCACUACUUGGAGAGGACGUCUGAAAGACCUUCGUGAAAAAUUUAAUCAACGGUGCAUCGAAGAAGAAAGUUCCUUGAAGCUUUCAUCCUGACGGUUCCUCAGCUCGAUGAUAAUUUCUUAAACACCCUGUAUGCACAGGAAAGAAUAAUCUUCACAGUUUCCUGGUCUUCUCGUUGACCCUUAGUGUUGGGCGUGGUUCUCCUCGUAUUUCCCACUUUUUCUGAAUACUUGAGCGAGUACAGAGAUUCGUUAUAGCGCUGGUAAAAAAUUGAAGAAAAACUAACGAGUGGACGCGGGCGUGUCCCCUAACAAGAUAAAUUUGCAACUUCGACACGCGUCCCCAGGUUAUAAGACGCGAAAGAGUCGGGUCAACAUAUUUAUAUUGAAACGAAAGUUCUUAGGUGGAAAAGAGCUGUAAACACAACUUCGUUUCAAAUGUUGCUUGGUAUUACGCUCGUCCGAGUAGACGUUAGGAACUAGGUCGACGUUAAUUGUAAAUUAGGUGAAACUCUACGUAAGUUAAAUGAUAAAACAUCGUCGAGUUUUCGCCGAGUUGCAGGGUCAAGGAAAUAACAUUUCGAAUAUUAUAUAA
rnacentral:lncRNA from 1 species